rnacentral:rRNA from 1 species
CCUACGGGAGGCAGCAGUGGGGAAUUUUGGACAAUGGGCGCAAGCCUGAUCCAGCAAUGCCGCGUGAGUGAAGAAGGCCUUCGGGUUGUAAAGCUCUUUUGUCAGGGAAGAAACGGCCUGUUCUAAUACAGUGGGCUAAUGACGGUACCUGAAGAAUAAGCACCGGCUAACUACGUGCCAGCAGCCGCGGUAAUACGUAGGGUGCAAGCGUUAAUCGGAAUUACUGGGCGUAAAGCGUGCGCAGGCGGUUGUGUAAGACAGGUGUGAAAUCCCCGGGCUUAACCUGGGAAUGGCAUUUGUGACUGCACGGCUAGAGUGUGUCAGAGGGGGGUAGAAUUCCACGUGUAGCAGUGAAAUGCGUAGAGAUGUGGAGGAAUACCGAUGGCGAAGGCAGCCCCCUGGGAUAACACUGACGCUCAUGCACGAAAGCGUGGGGAGCAAACAGGAUUAGAUACCCUGGUAGUCCACGCCCUAAACGAUGUCUACUAGUUGUCGGGUCUUAAUUGACUUGGUAACGCAGCUAACGCGUGAAGUAGACCGCCUGGGGAAGUAACGGUGCAAGNUUAAAACUUCAAAGGAAUUGACGGCUGGAGAGNGCGAGCGACGACGAGGGAGGAGG